GUCAGUUACUGUCAGUUAUCAGAGUGAAGAUGUCUUCCUAGAAAUAAGUUGCUCUUCAAUAGGGCUCCUGGACUCUGAGGAAGCUUCCUUCUUUUAUAGUCAAUUUUCAGAGGGGUAGACUUUUUGAAACUUCACUCAAUGAUGUCAUUUCUUCUGAGAGCCAGAAAACAACUGGCAAAUUUCCUGAUCAGGAGCAGGUCUUUUCUCUUGGCAUGAGUUAUUGCAACCAAUGAAAAAACCUCAGAAGGUUCAGAGAGUCCUCAGCAGAAAGCAAGAACUGCUUAAAAAGAAUCAAAGAAAAGGCAAUGGUGCAGAAGAGUUGUGGUAAUUGCUCUGAAUUAGUCAAAGACAAGUGAAGCUUGUUUGCCCUUUAUCCAGAGGACGUUGUGGUAACUACAGUCCAGAUAUGAUAUCCGAGAAUGAGGCUUUAGACAUAAGAGACAAUUUGCCCUCUGCAGGUGAAAGAAGUCAAGUUGUACAGGAAGAGCAGAAGAGAAAUCAAGAGGACAGUAACUGAACAAAAGAAAACACUUCAUUGGAAAUAUGGAAACAUAGCUUCUAUGAUGAACCUCCUUCAGAGUUAUGGGUCUAGCUGAGGAGUCUGAAUUGGAGGGCUUGACAGCUUCUUGCCAUGCAACUCAAGAACCAGGGAAUUGUGCUGCUUAGAAAGGGCAGGAUUUCUUGGAACAUGGGCUUACAACUCUGAAGCAGUCAGGUUAUCAGCUACCUAUUGCAGAAGAAUACUACUUGGCUGAGUCACCUGACCUAUAGCCUGGUCAGAAAAGGAUCCUCAGUCUUUGUACCUACAGAAAGAUUGAAUGGAUUGUUCAAUUAGAUUCCUCAAAAGAAAAUGGCAUGAAUCAGGAGAACAGGCAUGUCAUACCCAAUGCUACAAAAUUAAUGCAAACUUUUGUUCCAAACA